rnacentral:rRNA from 1 species
UGGGGAAUAUUGGGCAAUGGGCGCAAGCCUGACCCAGCAACGCCGCGUGAGGGAAGAAGGUUUUCGGAUUGUAAACCUCUGUCGCAGGGGACGAAGGAAGUGACGGUACCCUGUAAGAAAGCCCCGGCUAACUACGUGCCAGCAGCCGCGGUAAUACGUAGGGGGCGAGCGUUGUCCGGAAUUACUGGGCGUAAAGGGAGCGUAGACGGCAUGGCAAGUCUGAAGUGAAAGGCCAGGGCUCAACCCUGGGACUGCUUUGGAAACUGUCAGGCUGGAGUGCAGGAGAGGUAAGUGGAAUUCCUAGUGUAGCGGUGAAAUGCGUAGAUAUUAGGAGGAACACCAGUGGCGAAGGCGGCUUACUGGACUGUAACUGACGUUGAGGCUCGAAAGCGUGGGGAGCAAACAGGAUUAGAUACCCUGGUAGU